rnacentral:siRNA from 1 species
CUAACAAGGAUACAGUUCUUACGC